rnacentral:rRNA from 1 species
CCUACGGGAGGCUGCAGUGGGGAAUAUUGCACAAUGGGCGCAAGCCUGAUGCAGCCAUGCCGCGUGUGUGAAGAAGGCCUUCGGGUUGUAAAGCACUUUCAGCGGGGAGGACGGCGGUGAGGUUAAUAACCUCAUCGAUUGACGUUACCCGCAGAAGAAGCACCGGCUAACUCCGUGCCAGCAGCCGCGGUAAUACGGAGGGUGCAAGCGUUAAUCGGAAUUACUGGGCGUAAAGCGCACGCAGGCGGUCUGUCAAGUCGGAUGUGAAAUCCCCGGGCUCAACCUGGGAACUGCAUUCGAAACUGGCAGGCUAGAGUCUUGUAGAGGGGGGUAGAAUUCCAGGUGUAGCGGUGAAAUGCGUAGAGAUCUGGAGGAAUACCGGUGGCGAAGGCGGCCCUCUGGACAAAGACUGACGCCCAGGUGCGAAAGCGUGGGGAGCAAACCGGAUUAGAUACCCGGGUAGUC